GCCCGGCCACUCGCCCUGUCAGCGCGCGAGCCGGGAUCCGCGCCCCCUGCCCAGCCCGGCGGCGCCCUGCACAGCCCACUCGGGCGGGGAAACGCCGCGCCGCCCUGGGGAGACUCAGAGCCGCAGCGGCAGCGGCGGCGGCGGCAGCAGGACCCCUCCUCCCUCCCGGCAUCCCCGGCCCGGCUCCCCUCCCGCCCCGGCUCCUCACCCGCCGGGAGCCCCUCUCGCCGCCGCAGCCCGGGCUCGGCUCCAGGGGACGAUGCUCUGGCUCCCCAGCGGCAGGGCUCCGGCUCCGCUGCUCCGCUCCCCCGCCGCCCCCUUCGCCGCCUGGCUCCUGCUCAGCCCCCUGUGGGUCCAGAUGUCUCUGGCUUCCUCCUUCCUGACAGGAUCUGUUGCAAAAUGUGAAAAUGAAGGGGAGGUUCUACAGAUACCAUUUAUCACAGACAAUCCUUGCAUAAUGUGCAUUUGCCUGAAUAAGGAAGUGACAUGCAAACGAGAGAAGUGUCCGGUGCUUUCCAAGGAGUGUUCUCUGGUCAUUAAGCAGAGAGGAGCCUGCUGUGAGCAAUGCAAAGGUUGCACUUUUGAAGGAAACAACUACAACAGCUCCAUAAAAUGGCAAGCCCCAGCUAAUCCAUGUAUUGCAUAUCAGUGUCAGGAAGGAGUGGUAACAGAAUCUGAAAUGCAGUGUGUUGUCCAUUGCAAAAACCCUUCUGAGCUGCCGGGACUGUGUUGCCCCACUUGUCCAGGUUGUAUAUUUGAAGGUAGACAUUACCAUGAAGGGAAGGAAUUUCAGCCGGAAGGAAACAAAUGCACCAAGUGUUCUUGUAUUGGAGGCAGGACAAAGUGUGUACGAGAAGUCUGCCCCAUUCUGUCAUGUCCCCAGCAUCUCAGUCACAUUCCUUCUGGACACUGUUGCCCCAAGUGUUUAGGCCAGAGGAAAGUGUUUGACCUCCCAUUUGGAAGCUGCCUCUUUCACAGUGAUGUUUAUGACAAUGGAUCCUCUUUUGUUUAUGACAACUGCACUAUGUGUACCUGCAGGAAUUCUACAGUAGUAUGUAAGAAGAAGUGCUCACCUCCUGGAGAAUGCAAUAAAAGCAAGGAACACUGCUGCCAGGAGUGUGUCUCGUACGUCUCUCCUGACGAACUGAAAGUGUGCAAAUUCGGGAACAAGAUCUUUCGGGACGGAGAGAUGUGGUCCUCUGUUAACUGCACCAUCUGUGCUUGUGUGAAAGGCAAGACAGAGUGUCGCAAGAAGCAGUGCAUUCCAGUCAACAGCUGCCCUCAUGGUAAGAUCCUGAACAGAAAAGGAUGCUGUCCUAUUUGCACUGAAAAGCCUGGAGUUUGCACUGUAUUUGGAGACCCCCACUACAACACUUUUGAUGGAAGGACAUUUAACUUUCAGGGAACAUGUCAGUACGUUUUGACGAAAGACUGCUCCUCCUCUGCCUCGCCCUUCCAGGUGCUGGUGAAAAACGAUGCCCGUCGGACCCGUUCUUUCUCCUGGACAAAAUCUGUGGACCUUGUGUUGGGCAGAAGCACUAUUAGCCUCCAGCAGCACCUUACAGUGAAAUGGAAUGGGACCCGGAUAUCACUGCCUUGCGAGACUCCUCAGUUUCAGAUCGACUUGGAUGGUUACUUGCUGAAAGUGACAACCAAAGCAGGCUUGGAAAUCUCCUGGGAUGGAGACAGUUUUGUCGAAGUCAUGGCUGCACCACAUCUGAAAGGCAAACUCUGUGGCUUGUGUGGCAACUAUAAUGGGCACAAGAGAGAUGACCUGGUAGGGGGUGAUGGUAAUUUCAAAUUUGAUGUGGAUGACUUUGCUGAGUCCUGGCGUGUGGAGUCGAAUGAGUUCUGCAGUCGCCCACAGAAGAAAGCUGUGCCUGAACUGUGCCAAGGAACAGUGAGGGUAAAACUUCGGGCCCAUCGGGAAUGCCAGAAACUCAAGGCUUGGGAGUUUCAGAAUUGUCACUCAACGAUGGCUUAUGCUACGUUCUAUCGGUCCUGUGUAACAGAUAUGUGUGAGUGUCCAGUUCAUAAAAACUGCUAUUGUGAGUCAUUCCUUGCCUAUGCCCGAACCUGUCAGAGAGAAGGGGUGAAAGUCCAAUGGAAACCUGAGCAGCAUUGUGCAGCUGCUUGGCUUCUUAUUACACGAGUGAAAUAUAUACACUUUGAUAUUCACAGAGCACGUUCCACCAUUACUAAGCAAACAUAAUGCAAUAAUAGACUUAUGCUGAACUGCAACUUGAUUUGAAGAGGAAAGUUCUCGUAUGAGCACAGGUUGAAAUGACUGGAAUUUCUUACUCGGAGAAGAGAUGUGGAAGGGCAACAUGACAUACUGGGUCAGACCAAAAGUCCAUCUAGCCCAGUAUCCUGUCUUCCGAGUGCCCGGUGCCGCAGAAGCAAUGAACAGAACAGGUGGAGUUUACACUGUUUAUCUAUAAAGCCAUAAAUGGCUUGAGACCAGCAUUCCAGAGACCUGUUUCUCUCUCUCUCCAUGGGAUAAUGCCACAGUUGCCAUCAGUGAAGACAUUCAAACUGGAUUUCUCUUGGUCACUACGGUACAUCUACACCGGUCCAAAAAAGAACCCAACCAAAAAACAAUGGCAGCAAGUCUCAGAGUACAGGUCAACUAACUUGGGUUCAUGUUACAUAGUUAAAAAUAAUGGUGAGGGGUUCUUACAACAACAUUUUUGGUGGCCUCAGAGUGCAGCCACCAAUUUUUGCCGGUGUACAAUUUUUCUAAGCCGGAGCCUUGCCACCCCCAGGAAGGUGGGUCAGGAACUCACUGGCCCUCUGGAGAGUCCCAGGUUCCUCCAGCUCUGUGCAUUACCAGGUCCAUGUGUCUCCAGAGGCGUUGCCCAGAGUUCCUGAAUUAGCUAAUCAUCUGCUUUUAAAAGCCAAAGUAACGCAGUUGUUGCAGACAACUCAAAAAGAUGUAAAAAAGCAAGUUCUCCAAAUAACACAUACAAAUAAAAAUAUAAUGAAAAGAGGUAAUUCUAAAAGAAAGCUUACUGCAGAUCAUUGGUAUAAUGUUUUUACAGGCUGGUUUCCCACUUCCAAAGGUAUAUUGUCAAUUACGCUUUAUCCAUUGUUAAUUGUGUUGGUAUUAUCCAGCGUUUGCCUAAUUAAAAUAAUACGUAUGUGUUGCUAAAUAAAAAAAAAGUUGUUAAAUUGCAACCACAAGCUCAAAUUGUCUCUCAAUAUGUAGCUAUAAAACAAUUAUAUAAAAUAUGACCCAGUCAAGAAUUGUUCUUGAGGGGUCAAAAGGGGGAUAUGUAGGGGUAGGAUUUUAUAUCUGUAUUAAAGGCCAUAGUUUACCCUGACAGCCACCCUUUUUGAAUAGCAAAAAGGGAUGACCCUCUGGGGCACUGUUUUUAGGAUAAGCUGUAUUAUAAAAGAUGGGGUCUUGUUUUCUGUAUGCAUUAUAAACUUCUCUUUAGUCAUUUCUUUGUUUUAAAGUUUAGUGAGUAAAAGACAGGGUCAUGUAUUGUGUCUAUGUUAAUAAAAUUGGAGGAAUGCUAAAAUUAGAGCUCCAAGCCACAGUGUACAUUGUUUUAAUUAUAAAAUUUAGCAAGGCUUAAUUUACAAUGUCUUUUGCUUAGCAUAAAACACUGCUGUUUGUAUACCUUUUAAAGGUCUCUGUAAAAGACUGUUUGUGUAAAUAAGAAGUGCAUGCCCUCCCCCCCCCCCCCAAAAAAAGAAAAGUGUAAAGGCUAUUGUCCAAGCCAGAUGGUCAAGGGAGAAGAAGUAAAAAAAUUAACCAAUUUAUCGAAGCCAUAAAACCAUCAAUGCGCAUCCAUGACUGAAAAAAGGCAGAUUAACAACCCUAAAGUGGAGGCUGGCACCCCUAAAGACAAGACAAUUUAAUUAAACCAAAAGAACAGAAUGGCCCUCUCGAAGGUGCUUUAAAAUGUUAACAUCAGAAGAUCAUACUGAUUAAGGAGUAACCGGUCACAGACUGACACAGCAAAAUCCAUAAACUUCAACGGAGAAAAAAGACUGUAAGAACAGGGUGCUUUGCCAUGGGACUUCAAGUUCGUCUUGCCACUACUCCAGGAGCAUCGGAUCACCACCAACAGAGCCCUGCUCCCUUCUGCAACCAAUCUGACUGGCCACUAGAUUGAUCCAGACUCUGAACUGGUAACUAGAAACAUCGACUUGUGGGACUGUGUGCAUGGUGUGUGUGUGUGUGUGUCUGUGACUAAAAAGCAUAUGCUAACUGCUGUAUUCUCAAUAAAUGUGGCGUGUUGCCUU